ensembl:lncRNA
UGAAAAGUGAUGGAAUUUUGGAUUGAGUAAUCUGAGAACACUGUCAUGUAAACUCAUUUAACAGAGAUGACCUGAAAUCUUGGACUCUGAAGGACAGUAGUACAUGCAAACCACAAUUUUGGAUCUAAUGUGAAGGUUUUGUAUGGAGCUGGUGAGUACAUUUUUGCAAGACCAUGUCUCUGUUAGUAAGUCAAUAGUAUUGUUUUAUUAAACAAAUUCAUAUUAAUUUGUGUGUGUGUGUGUGUGUGUUUGUGUAUGUGCUUUCCCCUCAUGAUCCAGAAGUUUUAGGAAUGAAAAUCUUCUGCUACAUGAUCCUCAGAGGAAAUACACCAAGGAUCCAGCUGAUUACUGGCAUUUUGGAUGAGGACUGCUUUUUAUCUGCCGUGUCUGUCACUUCUGGUCUUUGUUAUGCUGCAGAUAAGUGGAUGCUUAUCAUUGUUGCGGUUGGAGGAGCAUAAUUCGGAGCUCUGACGCAUGAUACUUAACGCAAUACUCUCUCACCCAUUGAAAGUGAGUCGAGGGCUGUGGCUUCUCCCACAAAUAUUUCUCUAUUGUGAUUGACAGUGUGAAGCCAUCCUCAACAAUGUUUGCUGUUGUUUAACACUAAGGUUCCCG